UUCAAGCUUAAAAGAUAAGAAUUCAAUAGAUUAUUUAAUUCAACUUUUAAAGUUUUAGUAUUUUCAUGUGUUAUCUAUAACUUAACACUAUUUAAUCAAAGAGAAAUUAGGUUGAGAUUGUAUAUUGAUUCAUAAAUUAUCUUCAAUAUACAGUUUUCUAUCAUCUAAAACAAAGAUAUAUAUCCUGAAGCUCUUUCUGAAUUUUUCAGCAUUUGUGUUAGGUGCAGUCUCUAAGAGUGUUGCUACCUUUCUCACAUAUCCUGCAAUCAGGUGUAAGGUGAUGAUACAAGCUGGAGAUCCAAAUGACGAUGAUGGUGGUGGUGCGCAAGUAAUUUAUCAUAAUCCACAUGACUGGUGCAUUAAUGUGUAAUUAUAUUUUGUGCUUUCAUUCUUGAGUCUUGUUGUUCCUUUGUGUUGAGAUGGUAUUUUGUUGAGCAAAGUUCAGUCAAUUGGAGAAAAAGAAACUCUCAUUCAUGUACAAGCAAUUCAGCUGUUUUGUAUCCCGAAGAUCCUGUUAAAUUUACUACUUUUUUCACCUAAACAAAAGUAUUGAUCACCUACUCUUUUAAGGUAAUGAUUGUUCUUUAGGGAUUCAUAUAAUUGAAUCUUUUUUUCUUCA